UCCAUCCCUGAUUCUGGAAGGAAGGAGAAGGCACCAGUCCCCAGGAGACAGAUGGACAGUUCACUGGAUCUUUCCAGGGAGCCACAAGCCUAAACUAACAUUGCAGAUGUUUUCCAGACUGUACAUGGAGCAAGGCUUGGGCAGUAGAGGAC